CUCCACCGCCCUACGGCCUGGGCCCGCCUCCACCCUGCCUCUCCGUGGUUCCCCGGGCUGCCCCUGCCCCCGCCCCCGCCCCCGCCACCUCCCCCGCCGUCGCCCAAUUCCCCCAGCCCCCACCCUCGGCUGCUGCCCGAGCUUCCUCCACGCGCCGUGCAGUCUCCACGGCGACGCUGCGUUCCCGACUCGGAGCCCCCAGCUCCGCGCGAGCAGCUAGCCGGGCUGGCUCUCGGUGUGUGCCCUUCGGAUGGUCUGCUGAAGAGGGCCGCCAGCUGGACUUCUGUAGACAAGACAGAUACUGUAAAGACAGCAAAGAACAAACAGAAUGGCAGAUUGCUAAUGUUUGAUCCAAACGAAAAAGUGAUGAUUGAAUCAAACGAAGCAAUGUCAGAGUAAGAAGAUGUCUUUGAUUGUGCAGCUGAUCUCUCCCAUGCCUUUUAAGCAAUUAGAACUAGAUAAUGCAGCCAUUUGUCACCCAAUUAAAUUUGAAAGGCCAGAAAUGCAUGGAUUAGCACUUCAGCUUUUGCUGCAGUCAAAGCAAUUGUUACUAUAGAUAGAAGGACAGUUAAAAUGAAAAAUGAAUUUUGAUAAAAAUGCAGAAGUAUAGAUAAUAUUCACUUCUACUUUUUAAUGCUUAAACACCCUGUAUUCUGUAUUUUACUUGUAUCAUAAUUUUCAUUGCUCAUUCCUAUUUCCCUUUGAUACUUAUUUCUUUCACAAUAUUUCUUCAAGUGAAUAUGUACUUUAAAAUUAACAAAUUAUUUACUAUAACAUGAAUUGUUACUACUCAAUAAAGAAAGUAAUCACCUCAACUAGUUGAAGAAACUGGUGUUAAAAAAAUUGUAUUCUUUCCAGCCUUUUGGCUAAGAUCAAGUGUAAAAAAAUCACAGUACAAUAUCAAUUUAGUAGCUAAAUUUUAAAUAUCUUCUCUGUUCAAGGCUCUGAUUCUGAUAAUCUAUUAAAGCCCUUCCUGUAGUCAUCUCCUACUUUCUGAAAAAAAAAUCUCUAUUUAUUCUAUGAAAAAUUACAGCUUGAAAGUUGAUCAUAAACACAUUUGUGGGGAUUACUGACAAAUUAGUAGGUACUAUUCUGGUGGGAUUCUUCUAUUCAAAUUCAUACUGUUUUUGUUUAUUCUAAAUAUUGACUGGGAAAAAUUCUACCCUAGACAACAUAUAUUUAAAUUUUCAUAUUGUCAAAACGAAAAAUGUCCACCUUGGCUUUUGUUGUAAAUUAUAUGUAUAUUACAUAUUAUAUAAUACAUGUUUUUAUAUUAAAGAGAAAGUAAUGUAUAGCAAAUCAGUGACAGAGGACCUUAUUUAUUUUCAUUUAAAGUUACAAUCAACCAGAAAAAAAGAGCCUUGUUACAUAUGGUAAUCUACAUGUAAUUUUAUAUGUAUCCUAUUACAUGGUUGAAAACAUUUAAUAAAAUCUAAAAAAUGUU
rnacentral:lncRNA from 10 species